ACAAGCAGAGAAAGAAACACAGAGAGACAGACAGCCAGAGCAUCAGCAGGAACACCACAGUGUGAGAGCUCCACACAGUGACAAUACGAUCGUACCAGACUUAUGUAACAGCACUGCCUGCAUGUUUCUCUUCUAGCCGACGACCAGCAUGGUAUUUUGGCUUACUGGGACUGAGCUGAGCAUAGGUCAGAACUUCCCAGAAGUAUAAACACAAAACCACAAGAAAACAAGACUGGAUACUGAGCAUAAUGAAUAUGCCAAGACCUCCCUUGGGUAACUUUACUCUUCCACUGAGUCGCUGGAGCUGGCUGGGCCAAAAACUAUUUGCUCUCCUUUGAGCUGGAAGAAAAUGGAGUAGUGCAGUCCUGCUGACUUACUCAGUUUAAACACAAUGCCAAGUAAUACUUUAUUUUAUUUUAUUUGAAUGACAUGUUUAUGCAUAUGUCUUAACUUUUUUUAAUAAUCAAAGUAAAUGCAUUUAAGUACAUAUUUUUGUAUUGACAAUUCACUUAUCCAGACAUGGUCAUUAAAAUAACUGAAUUAAAGAUACUGCUUUCUCUGCGUCUAAACAGCUCUGGGCUCUGUAAUCAGCAACUAAAAUGUAAUACAGAUAUGCUGUAUUGACCACUUUGAAAACUUCUCUACAAGAAGAUGGAUGCAGCAAAAAGAAAUGUAGACUAAAUGCUAAUCAUACAUGUUAUUGGAAGGAGCAGCUUUGGAGAAAGGUUUGGAUGGAGGCUGUGAGGCUAAAAGGGAGGGGGCUGAGGUAACAGGAACUCUAACAUUGAUUACAGAAGACUUUAAAGUACUUAAAGUAUGUACAGCAGUGAAAAAAAAAAACAUUCAAGGAGUAAGUUUUCAUAUCAUUACAAAACAAGUGAAUUACAAAUGUAGUAAAUAAAUAACCUUAUGAAGCACAUCAAGCUCCGUGAAGGAUGACUUGCCACAUGAUUGUUGUUAAUGUUCUCCGUUGUUGAAUUCCUCUCAUGAUAGAACAGGAAAAAUAUAAAACUGUGCAAGUACUAUGGUUCCCCAAAAUGAAGCAGAACCCUUAAAUUUUAUGUGCUUUUUCACAUGUGAAGUCAAGAAAGUAGCCACAAUUUCAUGAGCACUGUUUGGUGAAGAUCAUAGAUUAAGUAUGUAAAUCAAGUAUUCCUACCAUUAAGACCAUUACUAAAAUGCAGAUAUAUUUGAUUGGAAGAGGAAAGCACUCAUUUCAAUACCCUCCUUAUUCUCCAGACACCCAAACAUCUCCACUAGUUUGUGAAAAUAUACCAAGUACCUUUCCAUUGUGUAUUGUUCCUUUCAAACUAAACCAUCUUAAAUGCGCUUUUCUUAGCUAUCUUGGCAGUAGAAUCAUUUUGGCUGUGUGGCAUGCCAAACUCCUCAGAAGUGCGAGUGCAGUAAUUGCUUGUAAAUGAAAAAUUGUUUUACACUCAGUGGGGCCAUGUUGUGGUCCCGAGGCUAGGCACUCAUGAAAUGGAGCUCCAAAACUGUAUGAUGCAAUUUAACUACACAGUCAGCAAACAAGAGAAAGGCAAUGAGAAAUAUAUGCUUUGACAUAAAUAAUCAAUUAUACACAACUUCUACAUACAAGGGACUCAUUAGUUCUAAUGAAUAACAUUAGAAAUGCAAUUGCAUUUAACGCAUUUGAGAAAUUCCAAACUAUGCAGUCUAUCUUUAAAUAUAUACCAUUAUAUUUUAUUUUUCAUAUUAUUUAAUGAAGGCCUUUACCUUUGUGAUUGAUGGCAUCAACAGCACAUCACUUCCACCUAGUGGGCAAACAACAAAUAGAAGUCUUAUCUCUACAAGUAACCUAACAGAAGACAAAAGCACAAUGAUCAAUUCCAGAAUGGGUUUAUUGAAAUAUAAAGCACUGACAGAUGCAGAUCAACCGCCAAAAAAUAACUGAUAUGUUUGUGGGCAGACCUAUUGCACAAUGCAAAUAUUGUUACUAGUGGAUGAUAGAAAAAAAAUGAGAAAGGCACUUCUGUCUUCAGGUCUGGGAACUGACAGGUUAUCAAUAUAGGCACUUUUUAUGCAUCAACACAAUUUUUU